UUGGGGUUUUGUACCCCUGGGGGGGGGGAAAGGGGACAACCUCCGUGUCUGGGGCACGGGGAGGUGUGGGGAACCCAAAUCCAUCAGGGUGACCCGAAUAGGGGACCCCAAAUCCAUCAGGGUGCCCCAAAUCCACUGGGGGCCCUGUCUUAAGCGUGGCACCCCAGAAGCGUGUGGGGACCCCGAAUCCACCAAGGCACCCCAAAUAGGGGACCCCAAAUCCUCCGGGGCACCCUAAAUCCAUCAGGAGCCUCAUCCUAAGUGGGGUACCCCAGAAGUGUGUAGGGACCCCGAAUCCACUAUGGCACCCCAAAUAGGGAAACCCAAAUCCACCAGGGGACCCAUCCUAAGUGAGGCACCCCAGAUGUGUGUGGAGACCCCGAAUCCACCAAGGCAUCCCAAAUAGGGGACCCCAAAUCCACCAGGAGCCUCAUCCUAAGCAGGGCACCCCAGAAGUGUGUGGGGACCCCAAACCCACCAGCGUACCCCAAGACUUUUGGGACCCUCACCCCCAAUCAGGGCAUCCCAAGCAAAGCACCCCAAAUCUGUCAGGGUCCUCGUCCUAACCAGGGCACCCCAAUUGGGUUUGGGAUCCCCAAAUCCCUCGGGGCUUCCCAAACCCAACCAGGGCGCCCCAAGCCCAUCAGGGCCCCCACCCUAACCUGGGCACCCCAAAAAUUUUAGGGUUGCUGCACACAUCAGGGUGCCCUAAACCAGGACACCC
rnacentral:lncRNA from 1 species